rnacentral:tRNA from 1 species
GGUCUAGCUCAGUGGUAGAGUGCAUCCUUAGCAUGCAUGAAACCCUGGGUUCAAUCUCCAGCACCA